AUAGGCUCCAUGUGGAAGCGCAGUAAUGCGUGUAGCUAAGGAGUACUAAUCGCCCGUGUGGCUUGACCAUAUAUCACCCAAG
rnacentral:rRNA from 1 species